UACGGAGGGUGCAAGCGUUAUCCGGAUUCACUGGGUUUAAAGGGUGCGUAGGCGGGCAGGUAAGUCAGUGGUGAAAUCUCCGGGCUUAACCCGGAACUGUCGUUGAUACUAUCUGUCUUGAAUAUCGUGGAGGUAAGCGGAAUAUGUCAUGUAGCGGUGAAAUGCUUAGAUAUGACAUAGAACACCCAUUGCGAAGGCAGCUACUACACGAUCAUUGACGCUGAGGCACGAAAGCGUGGGGAGCAAACAGAA
rnacentral:rRNA from 1 species